rnacentral:lncRNA from 1 species
CGACAUAUUUGAAUUAAGAGUGUUAAAGUGUGAGCUACUCAUAAAUGGUGCCAUUGAUUUACAUUUAGGUUGGGGUAGAUUGUGAUCCCACCAUUUAAGGAUUGUGGUGCUUGGUGAAAAGGACAUGGAUGGUUCAUCAACUCAACUAAUUCACUUUAAUUUUUCAAACCUAAGAAAACAACUUUUGUAGCGGAAGGUUUACAAUAUUAAGGUAGGACUUCAAUGAAUAUUGAAGUUAUGUUUGUGUAGAUUGUUUUUUGUUUUUAUUUUGAAAUAAAACAAAUGAA